GGGGAUUGUAAACUGUUGCCAUAGUCAUUUCUUUCGUGAAAUUAUUUAUUUUCAAUUUGAUUUAUGUAAUAGCCCAGUUUAGACCCUAGUCGGAACAGUGGUUUUGGGACCACAAAUUUGAGUUAGAAAAUAUUUUAAUAUUAUUUUUGGUGUUUACAGUAUGUGAAUUAAUAUGUGUGAAAGUUUCGUGUGAAAAUUUU
rnacentral:lncRNA from 1 species